UUUCCUCCUCUUCAGCCUGUCUGGGCAUGGAGCCAGGGCUGGGGCUGGGAGGCAUACUAGGACAUUUCUCCGUGUUUGGAAGCAGAUAAGAAGGCCCCGGCUGUGGUGAGAUCGGGCGAGACACAACACUCGGCCUUCACAGGCCUCUUCCUUCAUGGACUUUUUAAGGCCUUGCUGUAUAAGGCCAAGGUCACUCUGGGACUUCAAGACACCGAACCACCACAAGAAGGUUCGGCCUCAACACAGGGGAGCAGCCAUGGUCUGUUCUCAGAACCGGUGGCGGAGCAGCUCUUCAUCCCAGCUCCACAGCUCUUCAUGGACGUCAUCCAGAAGCAAUGGGUUAACUUGGCUUCCCUUCCCACCCCAAGUGGAGUGGACUGACGUAACUUCACUCUGGCACCGGCCUUCGCCAACCUCUUGCAGUCCUCCUACUUACUGUUCUACAUGACACCAAUCUCCUCUCAAAGCUCAUACCCAUGCUCACGUGCUAAAGCUGUUUUAUAGUUGGUGUAUAGAUAUUCUUAUUCCCAUAAAAUCCUGGAGAGGGAGAAAAGAAAAAAGGGAAAGUAGAGGUCAUCCUGCAUGCUCUUUCCACAUAUAUUCUGAGUAAAAUAAUUUGCUGUAAUUGGAAUACCUAUUGCUAAUACUGACUCAAAUCAGGAAGACCUACAUUCUCUUCAAAAUACUCCUGGGACAAUGCCUAGAAGCACUGCAGCACAGUCAUAACAAUUUUUUUGUAGCAUUGGCACAAAUAGCUAUGAAGAGCAUAGCAUUUUUAUGUAGGAAGACUUUUGACAGUGGGGGGAGUCACAUCCACUUGCUUCUUUGGAACACCCUCAAGCCUAGAGAUAUUAAGAAAUGUUACUCCUUUAAAGGAGUUUACAAGUGACUCGUGGGAGGGAAUGUUCUAUAACUUUGGAUUAUCUACCGAAUCAAAACAAAGGACAAACCAGAGAACCUUUUAAGUGUAACUAAUGCAGCACAGUGUAUAUAUUUCAAUAACUUUGGGAAUCGUAAACACCCAAUGCCCUCACAUUCUCCUGUUUUUACUUGUGAAAAGAUUUCCAAUGUCUCCUAUGUCCCCCCUAUUUAUUUUUACCUUAAAGGUUUAUUUUUGUUACGUGGGAAGGAGACUCAUAUUUAUAUCCCAGCCCAUAGUUUGUGGGGGGGCUUGUGCCAUUGGACACUUGACCUCUCUAUAUGCCCUGCCUUCCAUGCAAAUAAGUCCAUCAACUAUCUUUCUAUUGUGAGAGCAAAAUGACACUUAUCUAAAACAGAAGUCAUGUCUCUAACUCUCAGUAGAGUUAGAGACAUGUCCUGGCCAAAAUAGCUUACAUGGAUCUAAAAAAAGUGACAAACAUCCAAGGUAAAAGUGUCAACCUCACAUCCCCCCUCAUUGUUGCUCUAACAGAAGAAAUGACAGACAUCAGGACUACAGUCAUUCAAAAUUGUGUGGCUAUUGAUUAUUUACUAUUAAGGUGAAUCAGGGUUGUAAAUAUUUUAACGGUCAUUGCAACAAUAAGAAUUAUAUUGAAGCAAAACUAGCCAAGCUUAAGACUCUAGAUGUGGUCUUGGCUCACAUCUUGGUUACCUAAUUUGGAAUCCUGGGGAAGGAAAAUUGUCCAUUUUUUUCUCUUUGUAUUCUUUGCCUUUGUAUUAAUCUCCUUGGUCUUUCAAUGUGUUAAUUUGUUUUCCUAAAAUAUUGUACCUCCCUGCCAACUAGAUAGCAAACCUAUUGGCAAUAAUACAUACAAAAACCUGUAAUGCUCUGAGUGGGUGAUGAGUGAGCCCCAUUUGUGGCAUCUCCUUUUUAGCUCUAUGGCAGGGGAAGGAAUGUGUGAGACUAGGCCAAAGCCACCACAUCUAAAAGUGGCAAAGUCAUGUAAACAGGGUAGACAAAGCCAGGAAAAGUUCCCUCAGGAAAAGUACCAAGCUGAUAAGGAAACAAAAGAAAAAAAGUUGGACCUGAGCACAUGGCAAGCCCCUCUCCAAGUGUUACCUACAAAGGAAGCUACUUCCCACCAAUUCUAGGGAAUAAAAAGAGGUCCUGAAGCCUGUCCAGUCUUUUGAGUCAUUUUUUGAUCCCAGACUUGGUAGCUUCCGUUCCUCUGGCUAGUGCCUGACAGCCUAGUAGUGGAUGCUGGGUAAGUCUGGAUGAAUGUGUAUGUGUGUGAGAGAGAAAAUAUAUCAAUAAAAGUUUGCUGUUAUUUUAAAUUUACUGGGUCUCUGUAUAUUUUAAAGAACCGAUUGUGCCUCAGUGUUCAAUUGACUUGGGACUGAGUGUGGUGGUUUUACAGGCCUGUGGGUGAGUGACCAUAAGCUGAAUCUGAGAGCAGACUUGUCUAACACUCCCCAAAUUGUGAAAGCACAUGCUGUACUCACACAAUUUUUGAAAGUACAGCUCUUUAGCAUGGCUUUCCGAGAGUACAAGAGCAUAGCCCAUUCAUGCAUGACCUCCACAGCCUCUAGAAAUCAUGUGAGAACAGGGAAUACUUUUGAGAACAGUUGUCAGAUGUUGGUGAACUCUGGUGUGUCACCCAAAACAUGACAUCUCACUUUUGACCCACAUGACAGAUUUGGCAUCAUUGUUUUAAACAAUAUUCCUACAACAUAAUCAUUUACCAGCACACAAUUGUUACUCACAGGUGAAAAAAGUAAAUAAGUUAACCUAUUCUUAUUAACUAUUUUUUUUCAUAAAGAUGUUCAGAAUUAAUGUAAUAUACAGAAUGGACAGAAAAUUUUCCCUCAGUCAAAUUUGUUUUGUUUUUAUUUACCUAUGCCACAGUGUCAUCAUUUCUAUUAUAUAACCUUGAUUUCUGAGGUCAUCAGAUAAUAGAAGCAGAUAAGAAGAUAUAAAAGAUCAUGAAAUAAAAUAUGGUGUACAGAAAUCAUUAUCCUGUUUUAUUAAUAUUUAUUUGAUAGUAUUCAUCUAAGAGUUUUUAGAAUAAGACAGGUAAUAUACUUAAUAUGAAUUUUGCUUAAAUAACUCCUCCAAAGUUCUAUUAUUAAUAAAACAGAAGUACAGAAUCUUUUUGAAUAGUUUAUGAUGCAAUUGUAAUAAAGCCAUUAAUAUGUCAAAAUAAACAUUCAAUCAAGCUGUUAUCAUUACAGUAGAAGCAUAAUUCUGUUAACAGUCUGAAUAUUUAUUUUAAAGUUUUAAUAUUCUUCUUAAUUGCUUCAUUUCCCCUGGAUCAAUCAUUAUUUACUCAAUGACCUUGUAGGAAGAUCAAAUACCACAUGUAUUAUGAAUGAUGAACUUUUUUAAACCAAAAUGUUCUAAAUGCUUAUUGAUAUAAAAUAUUUUUUGAUUUGACAAGCUAGCAUAAAGAUAUCUAUUAAAUAUUAAAGUCAUAAUUUGCCAAUAUUUGAUAUCUUUAUUUAUUAUUUUAUUGGUUUUUAAAAUAAUGACAAAAACCAGGAAAAAACAAAGCAAAAGUUAAUGUAUUGUCAGCUAAAAAAAGACACAUGGAAUUUGUGUUCCACUGAAUUAGGUCACAUAAUUCUCCUUAUGUUGUCUUAAUAGCACAAGCCAAGAGGUCCAUACAGAUAAGGACACCCUUGACUUGUUCCUCUAAAUAAUGGGGAACAUAGGAUAAAACAUGCCAUUAACCUUCACUUUAGAUUUGGAUGACACAUACAGUAUCUUAAUCCAUUUUAUGAAUUCCAAAGACAAUCCAAAUCUAUUGAGUAUACCAAACAUGUACUAUUUAUGCAUAAUAAUCGUGUCAACACGUGGAAAAUGUUCAGAAAAUGUGAAAUCCCAAAACAACUCAUUAUUUUAAUGAGAAACUCACAUACGGGUCAAAAAAAAUCAUAGUAGAAAAAGAGCAUACAGAUUGGCUCCAGGUUGGCAGACUAACAAGACUACAUUCUCUCUCUUUAGUCAUUGAGCCCGUAUGCUCAAUGUAUAUUAAGGAAAACCUGAUAGCCAAAAGUACAAAGGAUCUGUAAGCUUUUCCUAUGAAAAAUCAAAGAGCACAAUGAAAACAUGAGACUAAAGCAGCCUUAGAACUGACAAUGAAGAUACUGAAGUGGCGGAUCGCUUCUCUUUUAGAGUCUCAAUCAUCAACAGUAAAGAAACAAGCAGUCAAAUUAUGUACUGCAAAUUAGCACUUAGUAGAGCAGCAAUGAAGGCCUUGGAAAAGAUAAUCAAAUGCCAUUUGAUACUUUCAAAAUCAUAAUCAUGCAAUCCAUGGUAAUCCUUAGAUGGAAAAGUUUUACUCCCUAUGAAGUGAAAUUUGAGCUUUAAAGUAGAAGGAUAGGAAGGGUAUUGACAAGUUUGAACUUGGUGUUGGAGAAGACUCCUGAGAAUACCAUGGACAGCUGGAGUGGGUGAACAAUGCAUCAUUUAGUAAAUCAUUCCAGAGUUCUUGAGGCAGAAAUGACCAGGCUCAAAUUAUCCUAUUUCAGAAAUAUUAUGUAAAAAGCCAUUUCUGGAAAAGGCAUUAAUACUUGAAAAGGUGAAUACUUGAAAAGAAAACCCUAACCUGCCUGAUUCUCAUCUCUAGUAUUUUAUAGGUUUUAUGAUGUGUUCUGAAAUGCAGCUGAGCUAAUUUGAUAUUCAGAAUUUACAACCAUCUUACUAAUAGUUCUUUCAGCUUGUAUAUAAUCCAAAAGGAGUAAUUCAAAUAAUAUCCCAUAGCGAGUGAAAUUUGAAUUGGUUAAACUGCAGCUAGGAAGUUUAAAUAAAGAUUGACUAGAGUAAAAGCCAAGAUUGAUUAACCCUCUUUUAUUGAUCUUGAUAUCAAUCUAAAGUUGAUUUGAGGUUGAUAAAACAACAAAUAGCUUAUCAGUUAAUACAGCUGCAUUGUUCAAUAAAGUGAUGUAAGAUUAAAACAUGUAUUAGUUAGAUGAAAACCAUCUUACGCUUCAUCAAGGAUUGACUCAUUCUCUAUCCACUUUUGUAAUUUCCAGUUCCAGUUUCCAAUUCAAAUGACUGUUUUUUAAUGAUACUUUGCUGGUGAUACUUAGCUGACUUAUGAGAUACUUGCUGCAUCAUUUCUAUCCUCCCCCCCUUUUUUUAAAGGUUGUUCUCCAACCCUGGUACGAUUUGUAUUAUCUACAGAAUAUAAGAAAGGGAGAUUUCAAAAUGGAAUAUAAGCUAGCUCAAAUUAAACCUUACCAAGGUAGAAUUCCUAAUCAAUAAACAACUGGUAUAAUUAUUCUGAUUGAGAUUAAGUCCCUGCCAAAACAAUUUCAAAAUUUCUGAGGUCAAAGCUUCCUAGACUUAAUGAUGAUAAACCACCAAAUCCAGAGGUCCCUUCUAUUCACAGCUACUCCAUUUUGUUUGGUUUCAGCUUAA